GCUUCAUCCUGGAAGAAUAAAAUUUUGGUGUCCAAGUGAGACGGGAGUACUGAUCCUUACCUCCAAGUAUCAUCAAAUUUGGGUGAAAAAAUAUUCUCUGGGUUUUCAGGAAAGUAGUAGUUCUGUGGAAUCUUGGCCAACGCUUUGAAAUGAAAGUGUUUUUCCUCAGUCUCUUCUUCAGGCUACUUCAAGAGGAACAAAGCAUAGCGACGUGACUCAAAACUAACAGUAUGUCAAGUUUCAAGGAUCUAGCACAAAUCGUGUUUGAUUUAGAGUUCCAACUGCAUCAAUCAGUGUAGGAGAAAAGAGAGUGAAACCUAAUAUUUUAAAGUGUUCCUGCAAAGGAAUGCUUCAAUGUAAUAGAACGAAUUUUGGGGGCCCAUUUGAGAAGAAACUACUGAUCAUUACCGCCAAGUAUCAUCAAGAUUGGUUGAGAAAACAUUUGUUGGGAUUUUAGAAAACUGGGAGUUCUCUGAAAUCUUGGCCAAUGCUAUCAAAUGAAAUUAUUUAUUCCCUGUAUUUCCUUCAUUCUACUUCAUGGGGGAACAAAACAGAGAGCACACUUAGAACUAAUUCAGUGUGUCAUGUUUCAAGCAGCUAGCAAAAACACUGUUUGAUUUUGAUUUCCAUCCGCAUUUAUCACUAGAGCAGAAAACAAAGUGAAACCUAAAAAUUCAAACUGUUACUGUAAACGAACGCUUCAACCUAGAAGAACGAAAUUUUGGAGACCAAGUGGGAUAGGUGUACUGAUCAUUACCACUAAGUAUCAUCAAGAUUAUGUGAAAAUAUAUUUGCUGAGAUUUCAGGAAACUCAUAGUUUUGUGGAAGCUUGGGAGACGCUUCAAAUGAACGUGUUUUUCCCCAUUCUCUGCUUAGGGCUUCUUCAUGAGGGAACAAAUCAUCAGAUAGCACUGAGAACUAAUUUAGUGUGUCAUGUUUCAAGCAGCUAGCAAAAAUACUGUUUGAUUUAGAUUUCCAACUGCUUCUCUCCCUAAAGGAGAAAACAAAGUGAAACCUAAAAAUUCAACCUGCUACUGCAAACGAACACUUCAACCUAGAAGAACGAAAUUUAGGGGGCCAUGUGCGACUGGAGUACUGAUCAUUACUGCCAAGUAUCAUCAAGAUUGGGUGAAAAAAUGUUUUCUGGGAUUGCAGGAAACUUGAUAUUCUGGGGAAGUGUGGCAAAUGCUUUCAAAUGAAAUGGAUUUUUCCUUGCCUCUUCUUGGGGAUACUUCAAAAGGGAACCAAGCAUAGAGAGGCUCUGAGAACUAAUUCAGUGUGUCAAAUUUCAAGGAACUAGCAGAAACCGUGUUUCAUGUAGAUUAACAAUGGGGUGUGUAACUAUAGGGGAAAACGAAGUGAAACUUGAAAAUGCAAAGUGUUCAUGCAAACGAAUGCUUUAACCUAGAAGUACGAAAUUUGUGGAGACAAAUGUGGCUGGAGUACAGAUGAUUCCCGGAAUGUAUCAACAAGAUCCAGUGGAAAAAAAAAUUUGCUGGGAUAUCAGGAAAGUCGGAGUUCUUUUCAAGCUUGGCAAGCCAUUUUAAAUGAAAUUG
rnacentral:lncRNA from 1 species